UGGCUAACUCCUACGGGAGGCAGCAGUGGGGAAUAUUGCACAAUGGGCGAAAGCCUGAUGCAGCAACGCCGCGUGAGGGAUGACGGCCUUCGGGUUGUAAACCUCUUUUAGUAGGGAAGAAGCGAAAGUGACGGUACCUGCAGAAAAAGCACCGGCUAACUACGUGCCAGCAGCCGCGGUAAUACGUAGGGUGCAAGCGUUGUCCGGAAUUAUUGGGCGUAAAGAGCUCGUAGGCGGUUUGUCGCGUCUGCUGUGAAAUCUGGGGGCUCAACCCCCAGCCUGCAGUGGGUACGGGCAGACUAGAGUGCGGUAGGGGAGAUUGGAAUUCCUGGUGUAGCGGUGGAAUGCGCAGAUAUCAGGAGGAACACCGAUGGCGAAGGCAGAUCUCUGGGCCGUAACUGACGCUGAGGAGCGAAAGCAUGGGGAGCGAACAGGAUUAGAAACCCCGGUAGUCCAGCUGG
rnacentral:rRNA from 1 species